GGAAUUUUGGGCAAUGGCCGCAAGGCUGACCCAGCGACGCCGCGUGCGGGAGGACGCCCUUCGGGGUGUAAACCGCUGUCAGGGGGGAAGAAAUCUUUUCUGGAGAAUCUCCAGGGGAAUUGACGGUACCCUCCAAGGAAGCGCCGGCUAACUCCGUGCCCGCAGCCGCGGUAAGACGGAGGGCGCGAGCGUUGUUCGGAAUCACUGGGCGUAAAGCGCGCGCAGGCGGGACUAGCAAGUCGGAAGUGAAAGCUUGGGGCUCAACUCCGAGGCUGCUUCCGAAACUGCGGACCUGGAGACUGGUAGAGGUGGGUGGAAUUCCCGGUGUAGCGGUGGAAUGCGUAGAGAUCGGGAAGAACACCGGUGGCGAAGGCGGCCCACUGGGCCAGUUCUGACGCUGAGGCGCGAAAGCGUGGGGAGCAAAC
rnacentral:rRNA from 1 species